AGGAUGAACGCUAGCGGGAGGCUUAACACAUGCAAGUCGAGGGGCAGCAUUUCUAGCUUGCUAGAAGAUGGCGACCGGCGGACGGGUGCGUAACGCGUAUGCAACUUACCUUUAACUGGAAGAUAACCCAAAGAAAUUUGGACUAAUACUCCAUAAUAUCACAGAUUCGCAUGUUUUUGUGAUUAAAGCUCCGGCGGUUAGAGAUAGGCAUGCGUCUGAUUAGCUUGUUGGUGAGGUAAUGGCUCACCAAGGCGACGAUCAGUAGGGGGCCUGAGAGGGUGAUCCCCCACACUGGUACUGAGACACGGACCAGACUCCUACGGGAGGCAGCAGUGAGGAAUAUUGGUCAAUGGAGGAAACUCUGAACCAGCCAUCCCGCGUGAAGGAUGACGGCCCUAGUGGUUGUAAACUUCUUUUAUAUGGGAAUAAACCUGAGUACGUGUACUCAGCUGAAGGUACCAUACGAAUAAGGAUCGGCUAACUCCGUGCCAGCAGCCGCGGUAAUACGGAGGAUCCAAGCGUUAUCCGGAUUUAUUGGGUUUAAAGGGUCCGCAGGCGGACUAUUAAGUCAGUGGUGAAAGUCUGCAGCUUAACUGUAGAAUUGCCAUUGAUACUGAUAGUCUUGAGUGUGGUUGAAGUGGGCGGAAUAUGACAUGUAGCGGUGAAAUGCAUAGAGAUGUCAUAGAACACCGAUUGCGAAGGCAGCUCACUAAACCAUUACUGACGCUCAGGGACGAAAGCGUGGGUAGCGAACAGGAUUAGAUACCCUGGUAGUCCACGCCGUAAACGAUGAUUACUCGAUGUCGGCGAUAUAAUGUCGGUGUCUAAGCGAAAGUGUUAAGUAAUCCACCUGGGGAGUACGUUCGCAAGAAUGAAACUCAAAGGAAUUGACGGGGGCCCGCACAAGCGGUGGAGC
rnacentral:rRNA from 1 species